rnacentral:rRNA from 1 species
CUUAGUGGCGCACGGGUGCGUAACGCGUGGGAAUCUGCCCUUGGGUUCGGAAUAACAGUUAGAAAUGACUGCUAAUACCGGAUAAUGUCUUCGGACCAAAGAUUUAUUGCCCAAGGAUGAGCCCGCGUCGGAUUAGCUAGUUGGUGAGGUAAAGGCUCACCAAGGCGACGAUCCGUAGCUGGUCUGAGAGGAUGAUCAGCCACACUGGGACUGAGACACGGCCCAGACUCCUACGGGAGGCAGCAGUGGGGAAUAUUGGACAAUGGGCGAAAGCCUGAUCCAGCAAUGCCGCGUGAGUGAUGAAGGCCUUAGGGUUGUAAAGCUCUUUUACCCGGGAUGAUAAUGACAGUACCGGGAGAAUAAGCCCCGGCUAACUCCGUGCCAGCAGCCGCGGUAAUACGGAGGGGGCUAGCGUUGUUCGGAAUUACUGGGCGUAAAGCGCACGUAGGCGGCUUUGUAAGUUAGAGGUGAAAGCCCAGAGCUCAACUCUGGAACUGCCUUUAAGACUGCAUCGCUUGAAUCAUGGAGAGGUUAGUGGAAUUCCGAGUGUAGAGGUGAAAUUCGUAGAUAUUCGGAAGAACACCAGUGGCGAAGGCGACUAACUGGACAUGUAUUGACGCUGAGGUGCG